CCUACGGGAGGCAGCAGUGGGGAAUAUUGGACAAUGGGGGCAACCCUGAUCCAGCCAUGCCGCGUGUGUGAAGAAGGCCCUCGGGUUGUAAAGCACUUUCAGUGAGGAAGAACGCCUGGUGGUUAAUACCCAUCAGGAAAGACAUCACUCACAGAAGAAGCACCGGCUAACUCCGUGCCAGCAGCCGCGGUAAUACGGAGGGUGCGAGCGUUAAUCGGAAUUACUGGGCGUAAAGCGCGCGUAGGUGGCUUGAUAAGCCGGUUGUGAAAGCCCCGGGCUCAACCUGGGAACGGCAUCCGGACCUGUCAAGCUAGAGUGCAGGAGAGGAAGGUAGAAUUCCCGGUGUAGCGGUGAAAUGCGUAGAGAUCGGGAGGAAUACCAGUGGCGAAGGCGGCCUUCUGGACUGACACUGACACUGAGGUGCGAAAGCGUGGGUAGCAAACAGGAUUAGAUACCCUAGUAGUC
rnacentral:rRNA from 1 species